rnacentral:lncRNA from 1 species
UGGAAUGUGGUGGAGCAAACUUGACUUUAACUAGAACUCUUCGGUUUUACCUUGAGCAGCCAUGGGAUAUUGGAUAUAUAAUGGUGCGGCAUUAUCCAAACCCAAGGCGGCAAGCUCCUUGAGCGUACGGUUGUCCAUGGCUAUACCUUGCUCUUCUCCACCCACUUGUGCCGUGGGAUCCUCCUUGUGCUGUUGUUUCCUCCUUCUUCUCAAAGUUCUCUUGAAGUCGUCGUCAAAGUCUAAGAUAUGCUCAUGAACAGGUCGGGAACUUCGAGUCAUGCACUAGUACCUAAAAACAAAGAAAACAAAACAAAUCAGCAACUUAAACA